rnacentral:rRNA from 1 species
CUUCCAUCUUGGAAGAAUACUGGGGACGAGGUGCUGCAUGGCUGUCGUCAGCUCGUGUCGUGAGAUGUUGGGUUAAGUCCCGCAACGAGCGCAACCUUGUUGUUUAGUUGCAAACAGGUCAAGCUGUGCACUCUAGACAGACUGCCGUGGACAACACGGAGGAAGGUGGGGAUGACGUCAAAUCAUCAUGCCCCUUAUGAUCUGGGCUACACACGUGCUACAAUGGCCGGUACAACGGGCAGCGAAGGAGCGAUCCGGAGCGAAUCCUAAAAAGCCGGUCCCAGUUCGGAUUGCAGGCUGAAACUCGCCUACAUGAAGUUGGAGUUGCUAGUAAUCGCGAAUCAGAAUGUCGCGGUGAAUGCGUUCCCGGGUCUU